UGCAAGUCGAACGCGUUGGCCCAAUUGAUUGAUGGUGCUUGCACCUGAUUGAUUUUGGUCGCCAACGAGUGGCGGACGGGUGAGUAACACGUAGGUAACCUGCCCAGAAGCGGGGGACAACAUUUGGAAACAGAUGCUAAUACCGCAUAACAGCGUUGUUCGCAUGAACAACGCUUAAAAGAUGGCUUCUCGCUAUCACUUCUGGAUGGACCUGCGGUGCAUUAGCUUGUUGGUGGGGUAACGGCCUACCAAGGCGAUGAUGCAUAGCCGAGUUGAGAGACUGAUCGGCCACAAUGGGACUGAGACACGGCCCAUACUCCUACGGGAGGCAGCAGUAGGGAAUCUUCCACAAUGGGCGCAAGCCUGAUGGAGCAACACCGCGUGAGUGAAGAAGGGUUUCGGCUCGUAAAGCUCUGUUGUUAAAGAAGAACACGUAUGAGAGUAACUGUUCAUACGUUGACGGUAUUUAACCAGAAAGUCACGGCUAACUACGUGCCAGCAGCCGCGGUAAUACGUAGGUGGCAAGCGUUAUCCGGAUUUAUUGGGCGUAAAGAGAGUGCAGGCGGUUUUCUAAGUCUGAUGUGAAAGCCUUCGGCUUAACCGGAGAAGUGCAUCGGAAACUGGAUAACUUGAGUGCAGAAGAGGGUAGUGGAACUCCAUGUGUAGCGGUGGAAUGCGUAGAUAUAUGGAAGAACACCAGUGGCGAAGGCGGCUACCUGGUCUGCAACUGACGCUGAGACUCGAAAGCAUGGGUAGCGAACAGGAUUAGAUACCCUGGUAGUCCAUGCCGUAAACGAUGAGUGCUAGGUGUUGGAGGGUUUCCGCCCUUCAGUGCCGGAGCUAACGCAUUAAGCACUCCGCCUGGGGAGUACGACCGCAAGGUUGAAACUCAAAGGAAUUGACGGGGGCCCGCACAAGCGGUGGAGCAUGUGGUUUAAUUCGAAGCUACGCGAAGAACCUUACCAGGUCUUGACAUCUUGCGCCAACCCUAGAGAUAGGGCGUUUCCUUCGGGAACGCAAUGACAGGUGGUGCAUGGUCGUCGUCAGCUCGUGUCGUGAGAUGUUGGGUUAAGUCCCGCAACGAGCGCAACCCUUGUUACUAGUUGCCAGCAUUAAGUUGGGCACUCUAGUGAGACUGCCGGUGACAAACCGGAGGAAGGUGGGGACGACGUCAGAUCAUCAUGCCCCUUAUGACCUGGGCUACACACGUGCUACAAUGGACGGUACAACGAGUCGCGAACUCGCGAGGGCAAGCAAAUCUCUUAAAACCGUUCUCAGUUCGGACUGCAGGCUGCAACUCGCCUGCACGAAGUCGGAAUCGCUAGUAAUCGCGGAUCAGCAUGCCGCGGUGAAUACGUUCCCGGGCCUUGUACACACCGCCCGUCACACCAUGAGAGUUUGUAACACCCAAAGUCGGUGGGGUAACCUUUAGGAGCCAGCCGC
rnacentral:rRNA from 1 species